UACGAAGGGGCUAGCGUUGCUCGGAAUCACUGGGCGUAAAGGGUGCGUAGGCGGGUCUUUAAGUCAGGGGUGAAAUCCUGGAGCUCAACUCCAGAACUGCCUUUGAUACUGAGGAUCUUGAGUUCGGGAGAGGUGAGUGGAACUGCGAGUGUAGAGGUGAAAUUCGUAGAUAUUCGCAAGAACACCAGUGGCGAAGGCGGACUCACUGGCCCGAUACUGACGCUGAGGCACGAAAGCGUGGGAGCA
rnacentral:rRNA from 1 species